GAGUUUGAUCCUGGCUCAGAUUGAACGCUGGCGGCAGGCUUAACACAUGCAAGUCGAACGGUAACAUGAGUGCUUGCACUUGAUGACGAGUGGCGGACGGGUGAGUAAAGUAUGGGGAUCUGCCGAAUGGAGGGGGACAACAGUUGGAAACGACUGCUAAUACCGCAUAAAGUUGAGAGACCAAAGCAUGGGACUUACGGGCCAUGCGCCAUUCGAUGAACCCAUAUGGGAUUAGCUAGUUGGUAGGGUAAUGGCUUACCAAGGCGACGAUCUCUAGCUGGUCUGAGAGGAUGACCAGCCACACUGGAACUGAGACACGGUCCAGACUCCUACGGGAGGCAGCAGUGGGGAAUAUUGCACAAUGGGGGGAACCCUGAUGCAGCCAUGCCGCGUGUAUGAAGAAGGCCUUCGGGUUGUAAAGUACUUUCGGUAACGAGGAAGGUGGUGUAUCUAAUAGGUGCAUCAAUUGACGUUAAUUACAGAAGAAGCACCGGCUAACUCCGUGCCAGCAGCCGCGGUAAUACGGAGGGUGCGAGCGUUAAUCGGAAUGACUGGGCGUAAAGGGCAUGUAGGCGGAUAAUUAAGUUAGGUGUGAAAGCCCUGGGCUCAACCUAGGAAUUGCACUUAAAACUGGUUAACUAGAGUAUUGUAGAGGAAGGUAGAAUUCCACGUGUAGCGGUGAAAUGCGUAGAGAUGUGGAGGAAUACCGGUGGCGAAGGCGGCCUUCUGGACAGAUACUGACGCUGAGAUGCGAAAGCGUGGGGGGCAAACAGGAUUAGAUACCCUGGUAGUCCACGCUGUAAACGAUGUCGAUUUGGAGUUUGUUGCCUAGAGUGAUGGGCUCCGAAGCUAACGCGAUAAAUCGACCGCCUGGGGAGUACGGCCGCAAGGUUAAAACUCAAAUGAAUUGACGGGGGCCCGCACAAGCGGUGGAGCAUGUGGUUUAAUUCGAUGCAACGCGAAGAACCUUACCUGGUCUUGACAUCCACAGAAUCUUGCAGAGAUGCGAGAGUGCCUUCGGGAACUGUGAGACAGGUGCUGCAUGGCUGUCGUCAGCUCGUGUUAUGAAAUGUUGGGUUAAGUCCCGCAACGAGCGCAACCCUUAUCCUUUGUUGCCAUUGGUUCGGCCGGGAACUCAAAGGAGACUGCCGUUGAUAAAGCGGAGGAAGGUGGGGACGACGUCAAGUCAUCAUGGCCCUUACGACCAGGGCUACACACGUGCUACAAUGGCGUAUACAAAGGGAGGCGA
rnacentral:rRNA from 1 species